rnacentral:rRNA from 1 species
CAGGUAGGGAAUCUUCGGCAAUGGACGAAAGUCUGACCGAGCAACGCCGCGUGAGUGAAGAAGGUUUUCGGAUCGUAAACUCUGUUGGUAGAGAAGAACGUUGGUGAGAGUGGAAAGCUCAUCAAGUGACGGUAACUACCCAGAAAGGGACGGCUAACUACGUGCCAG